UUGUUAUAAAAUGCUUAGGCCUGAUAUCAGUUUUCGUUCUUUGGUUUCAAUGUAGAGUAUUUAAUUAUGCUGUAUAAUAGUUGUAAAAAGAAUAAAGGUAACUACUUCACAGAUUUCGCCGAUCACGGGUUCUUUUAGGAAUGCAAACGAGGGUUCACUGUAUCCUGCUUUUAUUCUAGUAAUCAGUGUGAAUUACAAGUAAUGAACUCAUCAAAUAAUCUGUCAGUUUCAUCUGUAAAUGUUGAAUUGAUGAGGUUUGAUUCUCUCUGCAGAAAAACCAACAUCCACAGCCCCGCCCACUACUGAAGCUCCUCCUACUAUAGAAGCUCCUCCCACUUACUCACCUUCCCCUCUCCUCAUCAUCACUCUGCUCUGCCACCUGGUGGUGAUGUUCCUGUUCUUCAUCUGCUCUUUCCUCUUGGGGUUUUCAUUUGGACUCAGAACCAAAGGAAGUGACCCGUUACCAUGUGUGAAGAUGACUCCGCCCCCCCAGGCUGAGCUGGUACCAGAUGAUGAUGAUGAUGAUGAUGAUGAUGACGUCACCACAGAGUAUCACUUCUGAACCAAACAUUCUCAUCCUGCUCUGCUCCUGCUGUCUUCUUCCUCUUCGUUUUCUGGGAGCAUUUCUUUAAAGCUUUUAUAAAAAAUAUUUGUUUUUUCUUAUUUGUUGAAACUGUAAUCUUCAACUUUGGAAUAAAAUGUGGAGUUAA